ensembl:lncRNA
CUGGAAGUUCUGUGGGCACCUGGGGGCUGGGGGGGCUUCUGUUCCCAUCCAGUCUUAGGGCUGUCGUGACGGGGAGUUGGGGCCACGAGGAGGCUGCCCUGGACAUGGGCCGGGACUGGCGCUCGUCCCUGCUGCUUCCUGCAGUGAUAUAAACUGUGUUAUGAGUCUGUGGUUUUUCUUCUCAACUAGAUUGAGUCUUGAGAGCAGAGACUAUGACUGAUUCAAAAAAUAUAUUAAUUAGAUAUAUUAAUUAAAGAGCACAAUUCAGUGGCAUACAGUAUAUUCACAGUGUUAUGAUACCACCACCUUCUGCCUGGUUCCAAAUGUUUUCAUCACCCCAAAGGGCACCCCACACUCGGUAAGCAGUUACCCCCCGUCCCCCUGCCCCAGCCCCUGGCCACCCCCAUCUGCUUUCUGUCUCUGUGUACAAGUGAACUUCUGUUUCCAUCCCACUCGGUUCACUGCUGACACUUUUCCCCACACCAGUGACUCUCCAACUCUCUCACACCAGCUGGGCGUCCUAAAUUCAGUUCCCUUCUGACGCUCCCUGGAGUUGGUGCAGACCCUGCAGGUGAAGGGCCGGGCCGCACGAGACUGCCCCCGCCGCAGCCGCCAGUCACCAGUAGUGGGUCCUCAGGUCCCCACACUGUGUCUGACUUGGCUACAACUCGGAGUUCCCAUGACCUCCUCCUUGGGUUUGAUAAUUUGCUAGAGUGGCUCACAGAACUCAGGGAGACACUUACAUACAUUUACCAGUUUAUCAUAAAGGAUAGAGCUGAAGUGGUACCCAGGGCGACGUCCGGAAGGGCCCCGAGCCCAGGAGCUCCUGUCCCCGUGGAACUGGGGUGGACGCGUUCACCAACCGGCAGCUCUCUGAACCUGUUUGCCCAGGGAUUUUUAUGGAGGCUCGGUUCCCUGGGCCUGCUUGAUUACAUCAUUGGCCACUGGUGAUCCACUCUUGUUUAAUCCUCACGACCAGACAGAGGUCUUUUAAAGCAGGGCAGCUGAGGCCCAGGAGCUUAAGCAAAAAUAGAUCCCAAAUUUGCACCUGACUAUGUGGCAUCAGAGGCAAAGCUCAGAGGCCCUGCUGGUCCAGGGGAAAUUGCUGCCCCAUGGGUGGCCUAUGUCCCGGGCCGUGGGAGCCCAUUUUCACCUUCUAUUCAAGCACCUCCUCAUCACGGCCGCGGGGCCCCUUCUCACCCCCCUGAGCAUCCUAGAGAUUCUCCUCAAGGGCGUGUGAAGAAAAGCAGUUUCUGGCCCUUUCCAGCUUGCACAGCGAUAGGGGCUCUCCCUCCGGAAUCGAAACCCUUUCUUGUCAGUUGCAGUCAGCCGAGAUCAGAGGACAAAUUCCCAUUAAACUGUCAAGGAGGCAUCCGCUUUUUUUCUUUUUACCAUUAAAAAGCCACCGAUUCAAUAAUUUCCUAUUCUUCCUUCCAACUAUUCUUGCUCCCGACAAUGCAAUCAAAGCAGGAGCGGGCAAAACUUCCCCUCCUCCCCGGGUCUUCCUUUUUCUGGUCUCCCAGAAGGGAGUAGAGGCACUUUCCAUUUUUUCUUUGAGGAUUGGGAGUCACCGCUCCAAGCACCUUCCUUCCUCCCAUUUUGCAUUUUAAUGAUGGACACUUCCUUAAUGGACCAAUCAGAAAAAGCUGAAUCUGCUCCCCUAACCAGUCACAUACGAUGCCUGCUUCUGGUGAGCCACCCACAGCUUCGCCGGUUCCCCAGCCUCCCUCAGGGCACCCCUGAGCCUCCCCUCUCUUCCGCUAUUAAGGUCUCCUCCUCCUCCGCCUGCCUGAGUCUCCACCCAAUGCAAGUGAUGGUGGCUGACCCCCUUGCGAUAGUCAGCUCUGGAAAAGUCCCUUUUCUUUUCACAUUCAGGUGGGUUUCAUUUAUUUCCACGAUGCCAGGUGUUAAGGAUGUCAAAGCAGAAACACAAAAGGACCUCGAGCUCUGCUCAAAGGGGCAGCUGCUCUGCCAUCCAGAACUGUGUUGGGGAAACAGAAUUACAAACAAAAUCUCCUCCCCAUCCAGAAAACAUCUCCACAAGAGUAGGAGAGAAAGAAAGCAAUUUGAUUAUUGACUAAGCACUGGGCUAGAACGUGACGUGCAUCACUGGCGGGCUGCUCGGAGGCUGAAGCGACAGACAGGGAGCUGACUCUUGUAUGUAGCUAAGCAGCUACGACCUGCGAUAGCCGUGACUCCGAGAGGAAACUGCUCGAUUUCUCAUAGCUUCACGACUGGAGGUAGGGUCUGCAAUUUAGUCAGGCGCCAGCUGAAGUCAGGCCACCUCCUCCCAAGACACCGGGAUGGGACAUUAUCUGCCUCGAUGAUUACAUUUCAAAGAGAUGCUCCCAGGUCCUUGAGAAGUUGUGAGCCUGACAAGAGGCUUAUUUUGAUUUCAACUUACAGCUGCCUGUCUCCAGACUUCUUAACAAGAGAGAAAAUAAGCCUCUAUCGUGUUUAAACCACCCUCACUUUGAUUUUUUAUAAUUAGCAGCCAAAUGCGACAUCCAGUGAGAGCAGUUUUAUGGGUCUUUUUCCCCCAACUCUGGAAAAUUCUUUUAUCUUUGAUAUUGCCUCUUCCAUGCUCUCUGUUCUCUCCUUCUUAGAAAAUAUAUGUUCGAGCUUCUCAUUCUAUCUUGCUCGUCUAAAGUUUUCUUUAGUAUUUUUCAACCUUAUCUCCCUGUGCCACAGAUUUACCUUCCAGUUCAUUAAUUCUCCCUUCAGCUGAAUCUGGUCUACGGUGUAAUCCUUAUGUUAAAUUUUGUUGCUAUGAAUCAUAACAAAUAUAUCUAAAAUUUUGUUUGUGUUAAAAAAAUUCUGCUUCUUUAAAAAAUGGUAUCCUGUUUCAUGUGUUAUGAAUGCUAUUUUCUAUCUAUAUGCUGUUUAAAAGAAGCCACUUUAAAUAUAAAGAUGUAGGUAGGUUAAAGGUAAAAGGAUGGAAAAAGAUAGACUGUGCAGACACGAAUAGAGAAAGAAAAGCUGGAGAGUUGAUGUUAAUAUCAGACAAAGCUGAUUUCAGUGCAAGGACAGUUAUUAGGGAUAAAGAAGGACAUUACCUAAAGAUGAAGGGGUCAAGCCAUCAAGGAGACAUCACCAUCCUAAAUGUGUAUGUCGUAACAACAGAGCUUCAAAAGACACGAAGAAAACCGUGAAAGAAGUGAAUGUUGAAAUAAAUCCAUAAUUACAGCUGGAGACCUCUAUGCUGCUUUCUUGGUAAUGGGUAGCACAAGCAGCCAGAACCCCCUGGGCCAGGAAGUCCGUGCAGCUCAUCUUCUGCAGGGCUUAGUGUGGGGCACUGGUGCAUCUGGUCAGGAGCACAGCUGGUUUGGGUUUGUGGUUGCGAUGGUUAUCUUAGCACCACAGACUUCCAAUUCCUCCAGCUGUGGGCUGCAGCGGAGGGUUCUUCUCAGGGUUCCUGUGUUCCUCUCAGUGUUUAGCAGUCCCUGCAUGUCUGCCCCACAGAGGGGGUCCCUCUCCAAGCUCUUAACCCUCCCCGAGAACCACUGGACCUUUGCUUAUGCCCCAGGGGCACGAGGGUUUGGUGCGUCCCCCUCUGCCUCUACCAAAAGAGUCCAGGAUGCAUGUGGGGCUUGCAGCUGCCCCCAGGAGCCGCUAAUCACGUCAUGCACACCCACGUCACACAGAGGACUCUCUCUGAUGUCCUGUUUCCCAUCUUUCUUGUCAGCAGUUGGUGGUGGCCAAGGCAGAGAACUUGCAAGUGACUGCAAACUCCCCUAUAUGUGUGGGACCCCACCUCUCCCCCAGUGUCGUUUCAUCAACCU